rnacentral:sRNA from 1 species
AAGUCGUAACAAGGUUUCCGUAGGUGAACCUGCGGAAGGAUCAUUAACGAGUUUUGAAACGAGUUGUAGCUGGCCUUCCGAGGCAUGUGCACGCUCUGCUCAUCCACUCUACCCCUGUGCACUUACUGUAGGUUGGCGUGGGCUCCUUAACGGGAGCAUUCUGCCGGCCUAUGUUAUACUACAAACACUUUAAAGUAUCAGAAUGUAAACGCGUCUAACGCAUCUAUAAUACAACUUUUAGCAACGGAUCUCUUGGCUCUCGCAUCGAUGAAGAACGCAGCGAAAUGCGAUAAGUAAUGUGAAUUGCAGAAUUCAGUGAAUCAUCGAAUCUUUGAACGCACCUUGCGCUCCUUGGUAUUCCGAGGAGCAUGCCUGUUUGAGUGUCAUGGAAUUCUCAACUUAUAAAUCCUUGUGAUCUAUAAGCUUGGACUUGGAGGCUUGCUGGCCCUCGUUGGCCGGCUCCUCUUGAAUGCAUUAGCUCGAUUCCGUACGGAUCGGCUCUCAGUGUGAUAAUUGUCUACGCUGUGACCGUGAAGUGUUUUGGCGAGCUUCUAACCGUCCAUUAGGACAACUUUUUAACAUCUGACCUCAAAUCAGGUAGGACUACCCGCUGAACUUAAGCAUAUCAAUAAGCGGAGGAAAAGAAACUAACAAGGAUUCCCCUAGUAACUGCGAGUGAAGCGGGAAAAGCUCAAAUUUAAAAUCUGGCGGUCUUUGGCCGUCCGAGUUGUAGUCUGGAGAAGCGUCUUCCGCG